rnacentral:rRNA from 1 species
CCCUUAGAUGUUCUGGGCUGCACGCGCGCUACACUGAAGCGUUCAACGAGUAUUCACCUUGCCCGGGAGGGUUGGGUAAUCUUUUGAAAACGCUUCGUGAUGGGGAUAGAUUAUUGCAAUUAUUAAUCUUCAACGAGGAAUUCCUAGUAAACGCAAGUCAUCAGCUUGCAUUGAUUACGUCCCUGCCCUUUGUACACACCGCCCGUCGCACCUACCGAUUGAAUGGUCCGGUGAAAUCUCGGGACGGCGGCUCGGUCGCUUGCGUCCGACUGCUGAAACUUGAUUAAACCAUAUCAUUUAGAGGAAGGUGAANUCGUANCA